GUACUCUCUUUGGCAGCACAAAUACUAAAUUGGAAUGACACAGAGAAGAUUAGCAUGGUCCCUGAGCAAGGAGGACUCACAAAUGUGUGAACUGUCCCGUACUUUA
rnacentral:snRNA from 1 species